AAGAACCAGCUUUUUAGUUUGUUGAUUUUUUUUUUGUAUUGCAUUUUAGUUAUCUGUUUCAUUUAUUUCCGCUCUCAUCUCUAUUGUUUCUAUUCUUCUAUUACUUUUGACUUUAGCUUGUUCUUGUUUUUCCAGUUCCUUGAGAUACAACAUUAGAUUGUUUAUUUAUAAUCCUUUUUUUCUUAUGAGAAUAAGUUGCUGUAAACCUUUCUCUUACUACCAUGUUUGCUGUAUUCUAGAGGUUCUGGAGUAUAGUGUUUUUAUUAUAAUUUGUUUUAAGAAAUUUUAAAAUUUCAUUUUUAAUUUGUUCAGUAGAUUCAAAAUCAUUCAGGAGCAUGUCGUUUAGUUCCCAUGUGUUUUUUGUAUUUUCAGAAGUUUUCUUUUGUUGAUUUCAAGUUUAACUCCAUUAUAGUCAGAGAAGAUGCUAAAGAUGCUUCUAUCCUAGAUUUGUAGAGGCUUACGUUGUGCCCUGUUAGAAAAUGCCCCGUGUGCUGCUGAAAACUGUGUGUGUUCUAUUUGCUGGGUGACGUGGUCUGUGAACGUUCAGGUCCGUUCGGUUUUCGCUAUCACCUAGCUGCAGUGUCUGUUUGUCUUUGUUUAGAUGAGCUGUCCAGUUGUGAGAAUGGAGUGUCGGGAUCUCCAGCAGUAAAUGUAUUUGAGUCUGUGUCCCCUUCAGAUUUACAGUCUGGUUUAUAUAUUUGGGCACACUAAAGUGUGCAGAAAUAUUUAUAAAAAAAUGUAAUGAGCGUUUUGUCUCUUUUUUAUAGAUUUUUAUUUUUAAAUCACUUUUGUCUGAUAUUAGGAUGACUACACCUGCUUUUAAUUUUUAAUUUUUUUUUACUUGCAUUAAUUGACAUUCCAUUCUAUCUGUGUGUUUUUAUUCCAGUGAGGUGUGUUUCUUACGAGCUUAAAGAGGGCUUUUUUUUUUUCCCCCAUUUAGCCAAUAUGUAUUUUUAGAUGGGGGGGGAGUUUAGUUCAUUUAUAGUCAAUGAUAUUAUUAUGUACAAAUUUAUAGCUUCCAUUUUGUUGGUUAGUUAUGUGUGUUUUCUUAUUUCUCCUGUUAUUGCUUGUCUUUGCUAUUUGGUAGAUUUCCAUAGUGGAAGGGUGAAUCAUUUCUUUGUUCAUGUGGUUGUUCUGCUGGUGAGUUUUAUAGAUUCACGUGUUUCCAUGGAGAUAAUUAUCUUCCUUUCUUUUCCAGAUGUAGCACACCCUCACAUGUUUUGUUUCUUUUUUUUUUUUAACAGAGAGAAAUCUUUACUAUAGGGUGUGUGCACUCGCUGGAGAGACAGAAACAGAGACAGAAAGUGAGAAAUCAGCCCCCAAGAGGAUUGGCCACACCACAGUCCCUUCUCCUCUCAGGGUUUGGGCCCGCAUGCACGUGCAGCUGGCGUGAGCUCUAAGUUGCCAGGCGGGAGUCCAGCAGUGCAACCACCACGCCACCCGCUAGCCCCUCUCGAGCUUCUUAAGGAGCCAAUCUGUCUCUGGUGAAUUCUUCAGUCUUGGCUUGCCUGGAAAUUAUUUUUGCUUCAUAUUUGAAGGAAAGUUUUGUGGGGUAUAUAUUCUUGGUUAAACUGUUUUUCUUUUAGAAUUUGGAAUAUGUUGUCUCCCUCCCUCCUGGCCUGUAAGGUUUCUGCUGAGAUGUCUGAGGUUAGUCUGAUGGGGUAUCCUUUGUAGGUAACGUCUCCCUUAUCUCUAGACAUUUUUAGGAUUUUCUCUUUAUCUUUUUAGCAUGGAGUAUAAAUUUUUCAGUUUUCCUCAGAGGUUGGAGUCUGGGUGUAAUACUGUGGUAGAUGACGGUGGACAAGUUGCUUAACCCGGUGCCGGUUUCCUCAUCUCUGAAGGUUGGCUUAAAGACUUCCUUUAUAGUUGACAGAGCUUUUGACACUGGUUUUGCAAAAACUAAGUAUGCAGCAAAUACUUCGCAUGAAUAUGUCACGUCCCCCUUAAAACCGUCACCCCCUGAGUUACCUCAAGUGUAAUGAAUGUUUAUGACCGAGUGGCUUUUUCUCAUGCCCCUGUUGGUGUGCCAUGGUCAGUAGAUGAGGCACAGAGACAGGGACCUGGAUUUGUGGUCUCUACUCAGCCCACAGGUAGAGGAGCCAGUGUAUCUUAACUAUAUGGAAAUGCCAGAACAGUUCCAGACAUCAUGGUUUGCAAUAAAAGUUUACAUUGAAUAGGAUUUGAACACCAAAAGGGAAAAGAAAAACGUUGUAAUUUCGUUCACAGGAGAACUAUAGGCUUAGAAAAAUAACCAUUCUCAGUCCACUACGGAUGUGCUGCCCGGGGUAAGACAUAGCCUCACUUACACGGUCUUAGAUGUGUCCAUGAGGAAGACAGAGUAAGACGCUAGAAUUGAUCCUGACUUUGAAACUAAUUAUAAAAAAGAAAUCCUUUGGGUUAUACCCCAACUAGUAGUUCCUGAGUUAAAUUUUGAAUAGAAAUAGACUCUUUAUUAUUGAUAGUCCAGUGACAGAGAGGAGUACAGCAGGUAGACGCAUCAUAAGAAUGUUUAAAUUUAUUGCUGACUUGACACAAAACAUCAAUGGACAUAACAUAAAACUAUACCAUGCCAUCGUGAUGACCUUAGGCAAAACUGGCCAACGAAGAUCUUUAGAAGAACAGACAUAUACUAUAAAAUGUUAGUAAUCGCCAAAAGAAAAUAGAGGUUACCCGAAUCCUCUAUUCACAUGAUAAAAGAACCUGAAAAAGUUUUCGGAAGCUGACAGUUCUAACACUUAUAUGAUAUUUCCAAAAAUGAAUUGUAAAGAUUGAUGGAACUCGUAAACUCUCUCAAUAAUUAAAAAGACCAUUUGAAUAUUCCAGAGUAAAAUUAAAUUAUAGAAAAAUCAUUGUCUGUGAAGAGGUGAUAUCAAAACAUAUGCUGCUAAAUCAAUGUGGGAAAAAUUUAAAUGUGUCGGUUAAUAUUUUUUAUUUUCCUAAAUUUUGUGUUAUUGAUGAUAUUUGUCAGAGUUAAACUUUUUAAAUUUAAAGCUAGGAUUUUGUUUCUUAUUCAGAGUACUUAACAUUUACAGUUAAUUUUGCAUACUUGCAUAUUCAUUUUCUGAAAGAAGGCUGUCACGGGUCUUACAGGCUUCUAGGAAACAAAGCUCUGCUGUAGUCAGUGGGCUGGGUUUACGGAAGGGCAAAGUGGAGACGGGAGGACAGCACAGCUCUUCCCAGGUGGCAUCCGUUACUGAAGAUACCUACUAGUUCGAAUAUGAGCAGCACAUUUUAAAAAUCCUGGGAGCUGCUUUUUUUUUUUUUUUUAAGAAUUAUUUAUUUAAUUUUAUUUAUUCAUUUUAUUUUAAUUUGACCAGAGAGAGACAGACGGAAAGAAAGUGAGAAAGCAAGCCACCAGGUCCGGAACUCAAACCAGUUGGCCAUGUGCAAGUAUCCAGCACUUUAACCACCACGCCACCUGCUGGUCCCAAGAAAUAGUGGAACCUUCUUACCUGACACUCAGAUCCUGAGGACUCAGGAUGGGGUCUACAGGUGCUGUCCUCCUCACUCUUCCUGGCUCUCAAACCUUCGCUCAGUGAAUAUGUGGGACAUGCGUGUCCCAGAUGCGGUCAGCAGCCUGAGGCAGGCCGUCGCUUGGUUGCAGUGCUGCGUCUGACUGUCGGGGUCCUGGGUGCAGACAACAGAAUCUGCCUACCAGGCAUAAAGUCCAGGCGGGAACCCAGCACGUUUCCCUGGUAGGACCCCCUCCUCCCCCGGAGCCUGGCCUACCCCUGAGCCCCCUGAGCUGGUGUCUAGGAGCCAGCCCCUGCCAGCUGCCACGCUGCCCUGCCAUCACGCCUCUGAAGGGCGAGCCACGACCUCUGAUUGGCAGACUGAGGGCUUGCCUGUGGCUUCAGGAGUGGGCAGUGGCUCCCGUUGAGGCCGCGUCGAGAACUCGCCCCAGGCGCACUGGAUGGAGCUAAAGGCUAGUGGCUACCACGCCUUUCCCCGCCCCCUCCUUACCAUCUGUGAUUAUUGUGCUAUUUCUGGCUACGAGUUUAUUCAACCCAGCUGCUCACCGAGCUGGCUGGCCAUGUCCACCCCGUCCGCCUCUGGCCUGGAACUGGGUUGCUGAACUUCUCGUGCAUCCUGCAGGUUGCUCACUGUCUAGACCUUUGGGUGGAGGCCUGCUCGCCUCAGAUUGGCCUCGGCUCAUGGCGAGCAUGACCUCGGGCCAGGUAGAGGGGUUCCCGGAGACACUGGGCACCGUGUGGGUCAGGUACCUGUGGGCGGGAAACUGCGCCUUCAUGCAGCCUGAAGACUGAAGCGGCGGCUGCAUGGCCUCCACGAUGCAGAGGUUGGGCACGUUUUGUCUGCCAACUCCGAGUCUCAGGUUAUGACAUCCUGGCCCACCAUCAGACCCUCCUUCUAAGGGGAACUCAUUCAUGCUGAUCGUUCUCCUCGGACAUCACGUCAUGGCGGCUGCUGAGCAGGGGCUGCGCUGGAAGGCACCACUCACUACUGAGGGCUUGCUGUGUGCUUGGACGGUGUGGGCGCCUGGCGCGGUUCUUAAUCCUCAGAGCUGGGUGGGCGAUGCAUCAGUGAGGGCGCUGCCCCGCCAGAGGCCCCGUGGUCGCACUGGGCUUUUUCUGGUCCCAGCGGGGUCCUCUGCAAAGCUGGGCAGCGGCCUCCCAGGUGACAUCGCACCUGCAGGCUGUUCCACACUGCCCAGACCUGUCCCAGGGCAGUGCCUCUGAAGCGAGGUGGCCAGAGGGAGCCCGGACCUCAUGCGCCUACUCAGUCAUGCAUCACCUCGCUCGGACACACUGGUGGCCUGCCAGGGUGCAGCACUGCUGUCUGUGUUCGGGGAGGGAGGGCCCGGACAGCCUGCUGAGAACCGGCAGUUUGCCAGCGUACCGAGCGUCGCCUCGGACCCUCAGCCCUGGGGACCAAAUCCACACGCUCCCACUGGUCCUUCUCAGCUCCGAGUCCAUCAGCGUCUUCCCCCUGUCAUGGCCUGUUUGUUCAUGCCGUCAUCAGCUUUCAGAGAUGUUUCUCAUUUUAAUAAAGACCAAUUUAUAAAUUUU